UUGAAAAUGUUUGUUUUCGUUUGAAUUACGAGUCGAACGCGCCUUCUACGUUUUGUGUAUUGUGGUUUACAAACUGACCCUGGACUGAAAUCGGACUUUGAUUUGGCUUCAUGAAACCUGCUUUCACGUAGCGGCACAGGAACAGUGGUUAUAAAAAAUGACUGCACACAAUUGUUCUUAUUAUAAUUGUACAAAUUCUUCGGAACAGAAGUCAAUGUUCCGUUUUCCGUAGGAUGACGUCAACCGCCUAAAAGUAUGGCUUGAGAAUUGCGGUAAUAUGAACAUUGCCCACUUGCCUGCAGAAAAUUUGCGGUCAAGGUAUUUAUGCAUUGACCAUUUCAAUAUCAAGUAUGUACGAAAUGAGACUGGUCAUAGAAAAAGACUCCAGAGAAGUGCAGUUCCAGAACCAUAUCAGACUCAAGACGUUCAAAAUCGCUCAAGCACUUCCUCACCAGGUUCAUCAGGUACUUUUAAAGUACUGACACCGAAAAAGGUGUACAAAAAUAAACGGCUUCGCGACUGCGAACUUGAAGAGCUCGUGGAGCCGCCAGCAUUAGCAUACCAGUGCAACACGCCGAAGAGAAGACGGUUGUCAAUUACUGAAGACACGCCAAAAUGCAAAGUGUUAAAAAAGAAAUUAGUAUUGUAUCUAACAAUAACAAAAUGUAAUACCUUUUGAAUUAAAGAAGUAGUUUAAUUGAAUA